rnacentral:misc_RNA from 1 species
UGGUGUUGGGGCCUGCAUUUGCCAUACUAACUACUCCUGGUCCAAUAUGGGCCAAUUUGAAGUUUUCAUCUUUAAAUGUACGGCCAUAUAUGCUUUUACCUCCAGUUCCAUUUCCUUUAUCAAAGUCCCCUCCUUGAAUCAUGAAAUCUUUGAUGACACGAUGAAAUGUAGAACCUUUGUAGCCAAAGCCCUUAUCCCCUGUGCAUAAAGCACGGAAAUUCUCUGCUGUUUGGGGCACAUCAUCACCAUAUAAUCCAA